rnacentral:rRNA from 1 species
AACGAACGCUGGCGGCGUGGAUUAGGCAUGCAAGUCGAACGAGAUCCGGAGCGUAGCAAUAUGUUCCGGUGAGAGUGGCGGAAGGGUGAGUAACACAUGGGCAACCUGCCCUGAAGUUGGGGAUAACCUGUCGAAAGAUGGGCUAAUACCGAAUGUGGUCGUGCCGUGCAUGCGGCACUAUCCAAAGCUGGGGACCGAGAGGCCUGGCGCUUCAGGAUGGGCCCGUGUCCUAUCAGCUUGUUGGUGAGGUAACGGCUCACCAAGGCGACGACGGGUAGCUGGUCUGAGAGGACGACCAGCCACACUGGAACUGAGACACGGCCCAGACUCCUACGGGAGCAGCAGUGGGGAAUUUUGGACAAUGGGGAAACCCUGAUCCAGCCAUGCCGCGUGCAGGAUGAAGGCCUUCGGGUUGUAAACGUGCUUUUGUACGGUAACGAAAGGUCCUUUACUAAUAAAGAGGCUCAUGACGGUACCGUAAGAAUAAGCACCGCUAACUACGUGACC